AGUAAAAGUGAAAUACAAGAAUAUUCUCCAAAAUGCCACCAAGAAAAAGGCUGGGGAAAAAAGAACAGGUGGAGGUCCUGCACCACCACACUAUAUCCCAGCAGAGGAGUUCACCCUUGGGUUAAAUGAACACUGAGCCAUUGUGGAGGGAAUCCCUGGGGGCAGCCAGGGACCAGUAGCAGCAACACCUUCAUUACUGUUUUACAUAAUACACCAACGCUUUUACCUGUUCCCAAGCAAGUGGUGGUGGAGGCAUAUGCAGACAGUGAAGAAACCCUCUCAGAUGGCUGUCCUUUGGAGGAAGAACAUGAGUCCAUAGCUGGAGAAAGGCCUACAGAAAGGCUUGAAGAAGAGUCUGUACAAA